rnacentral:rRNA from 1 species
GACGAACGCUGGCGGCGUGCUUAACACAUGCAAGUCGAACGGAAAGGCCCUGCUUGCAGGGUACUCGAGUGGCGAACGGGUGAGUAACACGUGGGUGAUCUGCCCUGCACUUCGGGAUAAGCCUGGGAAACUGGGUCUAAUACCGGAUAGGAGCCAUUUUUAGUGUGAUGGUUGGAAAGUUUUUUCGGUGUAGGAUGAGCUCGCGGCCUAUCAGCUUGUUGGUGGGGUAAUGGCCUACCAAGGCGGCGACGGGUAGCCGGCCUGAGAGGGUGGACGGCCACCUUGGGACUGAGAUACGGCCCAGACUCCUACGGGAGGCAGCAGUGGGGAAUAUUGCCCAAUGGGCGCAAGCCUGAUGCAGCGACGCCGCGUGGGGGAUGACGGCCUUCGGGUUGUAAACUCCUUUCGCUAGGGACGAAGCUUUUUGUGACGGUACCUAGAUAAGAAGCACCGGCUAACUACGUG